rnacentral:lncRNA from 1 species
UCUGGUGGAAUGGUAAAGAAUUGGUCAAGCCGGUUUGCGCGGUGAGUAUUGUCCGUUAGAUGUUUUAAGACCUUCGGCGUGAAAUUUUCAUAUUAACUACAUAUAUUGUUUGUGCAGGAUGAGUAUGAGUUGAGGAAGCAAUUUUUUAUUAUACUUGCUAAAACAUCAUGGGAAUGAAACUAAAGGCAACUUUCAUGAUAUUGAUAGUUUUGUAAUAGAUGUUAAGGUCGAACAUCGUUACAUGGACAUGUCGUUAAUCUUUUUUUAUCAAUUUACAUUGCAAAAAUGAAU